rnacentral:lncRNA from 14 species
AUGAGAAAUGGCUCUCAGUCUUUCACCGUGUGAAGAAAGAAACAGAAUUUUAGAGUAUGUUGGGGUUGCUCCCUGAAACAGUUCCUGCAGGGAUGAGAAGACCUGCCCAUAGCUUGAUGGGAAGAGUUCCUGAGGUCUUUAUAGCAGAAUGAUGAAUUCCAUCCUUUCCAGAAUGCCUUGUAGCUUCUUUGUUAGACAUCACCUUGUUGAGACAGAAUGACUUACUUGACCUAAAUCCAUCCAGCAUCUUUUUCUUGGACUGCAGUUGCCCUUUAGGCCUGUUCUUGCACCACACAUUGAAACUCUACUGGUUGCUACGCUUCAGUUCAGGAGAUUUCGAUUGGGUUUGGCUUUGGUAUCAUCACCACUUCCCCUCCUCUUCCCAUGACAUUUGAGCAACACCAAGACUGAAAAGUAAAUAAACCUUGUGCAAUUUCAAAAGGAUGUAGCA